rnacentral:rRNA from 1 species
UGCCAGCCGCCGCGGUAAUACGGAGGGGGCUAGCGUUGUUCGGAAUUACUGGGCGUAAAGCGCGCGUAGGCGGGCUGGUCAGUUGGGGGUGAAAUCCCGAGGCUCAACCCCGGAACUGCCCUUGAUACUGGUAGUCUUGAGUUCGAGAGAGGUGAGUGGAAUUCCGAGUGUAGAGGUGAAAUUCGUAGAUAUUCGGAGGAACACCAGUGGCGAAGGCGGCUCACUGGCUCGAUACUGACGCUGAGGUGCGAAAGCGUGGGGAGCAAACAGGAUUAGAUA